rnacentral:rRNA from 1 species
CAGCCGCCGCGGUAACACCAGCAGCCCAAGUGGUGGUCGCGAUUAUUGGGCCUAAAGCGCUCGUAGCCGGGCCGGUAAGUCCCUUGUGAAAUCGGACGGCCUAACCGUUCGGCGUGCAAGGGAUACUGUCGGUCUUGAGGCCGGGAGACGUCCGAGGUACUCCGGGGGUAGCGGUGAAAUGUUCUGAUCCUCGGGGGACCACCGGUGGCGAAGGCGUUCGACGAGAACGGGCCUGACGGUGAGGGGCGAAGGCUAGGGGAGCAAACGGGAUUAGAUACCCCAGUAGUCCCUGUCUCUUAUU